ACGAACGCUGGCGGCGUGCCUAAUACAUGCAAGUAGAACGCUGAAGGAGGAGCUUGCUUCUCUGGAUGAGUUGCGAACGGGUGAGUAACGCGUAGGUAACCUGCCUGGUAGCGGGGGAUAACUAUUGGAAACGAUAGCUAAUACCGCAUAAUAGUAGAUGUUGCAUGACAUUUGCUUAAAAGGUGCAAUUGCAUCACUACCAGAUGGACCUGCGUUGUAUUAGCUAGUUGGUGAGGUAACGGCUCACCAAGGCGACGAUACAUAGCCGACCUGAGAGGGUGAUCGGCCACACUGGGACUGAGACACGGCCCAGACUCCUACGGGAGGCAGCAGUAGGGAAUCUUCGGCAAUGGACGGAAGUCUGACCGAGCAACGCCGCGUGAGUGAAGAAGGUUUUCGGAUCGUAAAGCUCUGUUGUAAGAGAAGAACGAGUGUGAGAGUGGAAAGUUCACACUGUGACGGUAUCUUACCAGAAAGGGACGGCUAACUACGUG
rnacentral:rRNA from 1 species